CUGGCGGCGUGCCUAACACAUGCAAGUCGAACGAGAAAGGGCGCCUUCGGGGGCCUGAGUAAAGUGGCGAACGGGUGAGUAACACGUGGGUGACCUACCCUCUGGAGGGGGAUAACCCGGGGAAACCCGGGCUAAGACCGCAUAAGCCUUUGAAUUCAAACUCAAAGGGAAAAGGUUCUAGCUUUCGAGCUUGAUCCUACCGGAGGAGGGGCCCGCGUCCCAUUAGCUAGUUGGUGGGGUAAAAGCCUACCAAGGCUACGAUGGGUAGCCGGUCUGAGAGGACGGACGGCCACACUGGAACUGAGACACGGUCCAGACUCCUACGGGAGGCAGCAGUGGGGAAUUUUGGGCAAUGGGCGAAAGCCUGACCCAGCAACGCCGCGUGGAGGAUGAAGGCCCUCGGGUCGUAAACUCCUGUCCUAGGGGAAGAAAAAAAUGACGGUACCCUUGGAGGAAGCCCCGGCUAACUCCGUGCCAGCAGCCGCGGUAAGACGGGGGGGGGCGAGCGUUGUUCGGAAUUACUGGGCGUAAAGGGCGCGC
rnacentral:rRNA from 2 species